rnacentral:rRNA from 1 species
AUUGAACGCUGGCGGCAUGCUUUACACAUGCAAGUCGAACGGUAACAGCACUUCGGUGGCCGACGAGUGGCGAACGGGUGAGUAAUACAUCGGAACGUGCCUAGUAGUGGGGGAUAACUACUCGAAAGAGUAGCUAAUACCGCAUGAGAUCUAAGGAUGAAAGCAGGGGACCUUCGGGCCUUGCGCUACUAGAGCGGCUGAUGGCAGAUGAGGUAGUUGGUGGGAUAAAAGCUUACCAAGCCGACGAUCUGUAGCUGGUCUGAGAGGACGACCAGCCACACUGGGACUGAGACACGGCCCAGACUCCUACGGGAGGCAGCAGUGGGGAAUUUUGGACAAUGGGCGCAAGCCUGAUCCAGCAAUGCCGCGUGCAGGAUGAAGGCCUUCGGGUUGUAAACUGCUUUUGUACGGAACGAAAAGCCCUCUUCUAAUACAGGAGGGUCAUGACGGUAACGGAAGAAUAAGCACCGGCUAACUACGUG